rnacentral:lncRNA from 1 species
CUUUAAGGGAGAUGCUGGUUUAGAAAAUAGCUGGUCUUUAGGGCAAGAAAGGGACAUCUUGCUAAAAUAGAAAAAGUUCUCUGAAAGAAAAUCAUGCAGUAUCAAAGAGACAAUAAACCACUCUGAUUCUGAUAGAGAAAGAAAUCUAUUCCUUGCAGUAAUGGAACCUUCAUUGGUUUGAAAAGAAAUCUGUACGUCAAAGCAAAAAUGGCACUCAGAUUGCUCUCAGAAUCAUGUCAGAAGGCAAUAUGGAGUUAACUGACACAACCUACUGGCUAGUUUGACAGACAUCGAUACAGACAGCAGCAUAAACUAGACCUAAAAUGGAAGCCGACAGAACCAGGAAGGAAAACAGACCUUAGAGUGACCAUAUGCAUGUGAAUGUGUGUGCUUCAGCACUACUGAUUGAGACUGUUCACAUGGAUCUCAGAUAAGCUCUUCAAUCAAAGCUACCUAAAAUUAUCACCAUUUGCUAAUAUACCAUGGCCUUCAAGUCAACAAGUUCUGAUAAAUUCUUACCAGAAAACCUGGCCCAUACAGAGCUUACACCUAUGACCUUGGCUUCGUGGGCACCAUGAUCUCAGCAAUGCAUCUAUCAUGCCUGCCUUUGGACCUAGCAACACGAACAUGGAGUUAUUCAAUAGCCAUUUUCCAUCAUAUGAACUGAACAAAAAGAGCUGGUCUGCAACUGGAGACUCAGCAACUGCA